GUUGUGAAUCGUCUUGUCGCUAUUUAUAGAGGAAAGUCCGAACACCAAAGUACAUCACAAUGGUUAAUUGCCAUCAAUCGUGAGAUUAGGAAUAGUGCAACAGAAAGUAUGUACAGGUUAUGCUGUAGUGAAAUCAUGUAAACUCUGUGAGGUGCAAUGUCAUGUAUACCAGCACUUGAGAAUUGUACGUUCGAUGUUGGAGGGUAGACAGCUAGAAUAUACUGGCAACAGUAUAUCAAGAUAAAUGACAAGAACUAUUAUUAGUACAGAAUUCGGCUUACAGAUUCACAAAAAAG
rnacentral:RNase_P_RNA from 1 species